AAUGGAGAACAUUUACAGAGGACUGUGGGUAAAGCAAAGUCUUCAAGGGAAGAUAACAAAGGAUGAAACAAUGGUGUUGUGUGACUUCCUAGUGUGAAUCAUGGCAAUACAGUGAAAGACAGUGAUUUACUGCUUUUGAGGGCGUGCAUGUAUAUGAUUAACGGAUGGAAGUGCAGGACUCCAAGAUUUACUUCCUUCCCUUUCCAGCAGAAUUACCUGAGACGAGUAAAAUCUACUGGUGGAGUCACUCCAUUAUUCUUAUCUGUGGAGAUCUAGAUCUUGAUUUGAAAGUUUCUGAGAAAAUCUUCAGCUCAGACUUGAGGGUCAACUUUACCAGCUGAAGUGACUACAUCCUGCCUGCUUUCAGCUCCAGUGGAAAAUGCAUUAAUCCCAGAGUCUCCGUGAGGUUUCCUGUUUGAUGACAUAAUCAGAAAAUCCUCCUCACAUUGCCCUUGGGGUUGCUGUCUGGAUGUUAUGUUGUCUUGGAUCUGCAUUUACUGCUCAACCACAUCUAAUUUGAUGUCCUCUGCAGAUUUAAAAUGUGUGCCUUCUUUUCCGUCACCAAGUCAUCCCUGGGUUACUACUGAACAUCCUUCUCAAUUCCCCCCGACCCAUGGAUGGCUGUUCUCCAUUGUCUGUUUCACCAGAUGUCCUCAAAACAAACAGACAGAAGAAGGAAGUGGCUAAUGGAGCUGUGGAGUCCAAGUGUGACUGCCAAGAGGAAUCCAGCAAAGCCAAAAAGCCCAAGCAUGUAGCCCUGCCCGAAGCACGCCACACGCAUGGAAAACCCAGAGGAAAUGAGUGAGGAUCAAUGGGAAGAAGAGAGCCAGCCAGGUUCGAUGCCUUCUCCAUCCGUCAGUGAGGGUGUGGAGAGCCUGCAGGCGUGUGCCUCCCUCUGUAACUUGCUAUUCCUUGUGUAAUGUCAAGUGGAAGUGUGAAGCACCACAAACUGCUCUGAGCAGAGCCCACUUCCCUUCACCCACGGAGAGCGUGAAGCAGUUACACCAACAUCAAUCAAGGAAAACCCACAGGCUGAGCUCACACGGUUGAAGCAGCUCUGUAUUCUAAGAACCUGGAAACAAUCUUUAUUCACACUGUUAAGACGAUUGAGAAAAAUGGAUGGAUAGAGUUUAUUUGCUAAGAGAAAAACUGAGUGACUACCUAGCUACCUCACUCCUUUUUGCUCUAUUGGAAGUUGAAGAUUUGUCCAGGAGCAGAUAGCUGAAGAGAGAGAGAGAGAAGAGAGAACGGCUUACAGCUCAGGUCCUCUCUCCAUGCUUAGGAACCACUACAAAUGCUACUGCCUUGAGUCUCAUUUUGUUUCCCUCUGGAAACCACAUGUGUACCUUGUUUGCAACAGUAUGGUUCUGGAGACCAGAAGGCCAAAAUCAAAAGUAUGGGCAGGCUUGAUUUCUUUAGAAGACUCCAGCGGAGAACUGUGUCUCCUUGCUUCUGAUUCUACAUCUCCAUCCAUGGGCCACUGUUUCAGCAACCUCAGCCAGUGCAACACAACCUCAGCCAAGAAGAGUAUGCAGAGAAAGGAGUCCCCUACCUGCCACAAAACUGUUGUCUGAAAACUGUCUCAUAUUGUCUCAAGUUGUCAUUCAUUGUGAAUUAGACCUGUUUAACAUGUAA
rnacentral:lncRNA from 1 species